rnacentral:rRNA from 1 species
AGAGUUUGAUCCUGGCUCAGAGCGAACGCUGGCGGCAGGCUUAACACAUGCAAGUCGAGCGGGCGUAGCAAUACGUCAGCGGCAGACGGGUGAGUAACGCGUGGGAACGUACCUUUUGGUUCGGAACAACACAGGGAAACUCGUGCUAAUACCGGAUAAGCCCUUACGGGGAAAGAUUUAUCGCCGAAAGAUCGGCCCGCGUCUGAUUAGCUAGUUGGUGAGGUAACGGCUCACCAAGGCGACGAUCAGUAGCUGGUCUGAGAGGAUGAUCAGCCACAUUGGGACUGAGACACGGCCCAAACUCCUACGGGAGGCAGCAGUGGGGAAUAUUGGACAAUGGGGGCAACCCUGAUCCAGCCAUGCCGCGUGAGUGAUGAAGGCCCUAGGGUUGUAAAGCUCUUUUGUGCGGGAAGAUAAUGACGGUACCGCAAGAAUAAGCCCCGGCUAACUUCGUGCCAGCAGCCGCGGUAAUACGAAGGGGGCUAGCGUUGCUCGGAAUCACUGGGCGUAAAGGGUGCGUAGGCGGGUCUUUAAGUCAGGGGUGAAAUCCUGGAGCUCAACUCCAGAACUGCCUUUGAUACUGAGGAUCUUGAGUUCGGGAGAGGUGAGUGGAACUGCGAGUGUAGAGGUGAAAUUCGUAGAUAUUCGCAAGAACACCAGUGGCGAAGGCGGCUCACUGGCCCGAUACUGACGCUGAGGCACGAAAGCGUGGGGAGCAAACAGGAUUAGAUACCCUAGUAGUCC